rnacentral:lncRNA from 1 species
AGACACCAGAAGGAUGAAGACAAACGUUCCUACAUGGCAGUGGGGAUGCUGUAGGUGCUUCUGCAUAGAGUUGGAUCCAUACUGCAUCACAGCAUGGUAGGUUAAGCUGGCCACACCCAUUACUGCAGUGAGGAAGGAUGAGGAGCAGGAGCAAGGCAGAGGGAUGAGAUGAGAGGCGUGUGCAGGAAUUCAGGCAGGCUGCAACAAGCAGCAGGAAGCACGUGGAUGGCUCUUGGCAACUACCUCCGUGGGACUCAGCAUCAGUACCCGGCAAUAUCAGUCAAACCCCCACACAUCUGUAUGAGCAGCUGGACGUCUGCCCUGUUUUUGUGCAAUUUGUUCGCACAAAAGGAUUAUUCCAUUUGGGCUGAUAAAGGUGAUAUUUCCAGAAACAAUUAUGUCAUCUUUCCUUCAAUGCGAUCUUUGUGCUUCCAGCAAAAGAAUAAGUUGAGAACUUUGCCUGAUGUCCAAGCUGAGUCUGCAAGUGUGGUCUACGAGAAAGAGUGGCUUGUUUGAAGGACCAACCACAGCAAAACUGUGGGUCCAGAGAUGAUUUGUCUGUGGGAUUCCAUAACUGUGGAUAAAAACCUCAUUAAAAGUCACUCAUCUGUUUGUAUUCUUUAACACAUUUGCAUAGGCUACGACACCUUUUUUUUUAAGUUUCCAUGUCUACUGCAAAAAAAAAAAAAUCUUUUCUCUAUUUUCGGCAUUAAAA